GGCUCACCAUCUUCUGAUCGGCCCACCUAACUGCUUCCUCUUGUACUCGUGCGUGCGCGUGCGCGUGCGUGCGUGCGCGUGCGCGUGCACGUGCGUGCGUGCGGGGUCGUGUGAUUUCCCUCCUCCAGCGAGGAGCGCCCCACUCAGUCCUUCCGGCUGGCCCCUGACUCCACGUUACUUCUCGUGUAUUCCAGGCAUCAGAAUCACGCGGGACUGUCUGCCAAAUACCAAUCCCCAGGCCCCGCUCCAGAUUAAGACGUCCUUAAUCUGCCUCCUGGGAGGCAAGAGGAGGGUCCCUCCCGCGAAUCAGGGUUUUCGUAAGCACCCCAGAUUCUUCCGAAGGUGUGGCCAUGUGACUAAGUCCUGUAAAGGCAGUACAAGUGUCACAAGGCUGCUAUCGAUGACGCUUUGUCCCCUUUUCUGUCAUUUCCCCCUCCGUCCUACGCCAAGAACGUGGCCCAGGUGGCCGGCAUCUCACACCGGGAAAGACAAGACUGGGGCUGCCGGAGUCCCUGAGGGAUCUGUGAGCAAAGUCGCCAUGGCCGCCCCACCCUGUCUACAUCAGGCUCGCAGGUGAAAGAAAAAUAAACUUCUUAUCUUAUGUCAGCCGUUAAAAAAAAAAUCUCCGUGCCCAGGCUGCAUCUCA